GUAAUAAAAGGAAUGAGUGGGAGCAAGAAAGAGGACAGAUCAGCUGAACCAUCAAAAGGUGAAAAUCAGUGACCUGAAAUUCUUGAUGAGAGUUCCCUACCUACCUCAGCUAAGUGUUUGCAGAUUGCCGUUCUUCCCUUCAGGAAUAAUCCCUUAUAAACGACCUAUCAUCUCAGUGACUAUGUCCAAUUGCCUAGCAGAGGUUGAUCUCUUGAAAGCCUUUUUCUCUGUUCUCCUACCCACUCCCCACUGAG